CUAGUGCGCGGCCUGCUGCGGAGGGAUUACACUGAGGAAAGAGACCGGCUUCUGCGUCGCUGUUGCGUGGUCCGCGCGAGCGUGAUCGGGAGCCGCUGGGCCCUGGGGUGACCCGCGGAGGUGGGAGAGGGAAGGGCUCCGGAAGCUGGCGGGGGUGCCAUGGAGCCUCUCCGCCGGCGCGGCCUUCACAGCUGGGUCGCGCUGGGCAUCCGUAGUCCGCUCUCCCAAAGCCUCGGUGGAGCCGAAGCUGCCACAGAGUGCAUGUUCACAAAGGGUCAUCACACACGGAGCUGCCCCUCCCUGUCUCCCUAGAGCCCAUCUUCGAGGCCAGGGGCUUUUCUACCAGGAUUCUGGGGUGUUUCUCCUCCUUUCCUCCCUCCCAGAUCUUCUCACGUGGAAGUGGAUCAUCAUAAAGAUCUUCAUCCUUGUCACCUUCACAUUGAGUAGACUGAAGAAGAGGAGCCGAAUGGAUAAAGAAAAUGUUUAUGUACACCAUGGAAUACUAUUCAGCCAUACAAAGGAAUGAAAUAAUAUCUUUUUCAGCAACUUGGAUGGAGCUGGAGGCCAGUAUUCUAAGUGAAGUAACUCAGGAAUGGGAAACCAAAAAUGGUAUGUUCUCCCUUAAAAGUGGGAGCUAAGCUAUGAAAACACAGAGGCGUAAGAUUCAUGCAAUGGACUUUGGGGAUUGGGGUUGUGGAGGAAGGUUGGAAGGGGGUUAAAAGACUACAUAUUGGAUACAGUAUACACUGUUCAGGUGACAGUUGCGCCAAAAUCUCAGAAAUUACCGUUAACAAACUUAUCCAUGUAACCAGAAAACAUCUGCACCCCCCAAAACUACUGAAAUAAAGAGGAUGGGUUGUUCUUACUGUCUUAAGCCUCAUGGCAGAGGCUUAAGAGCAGGAGCAUGUUGGGAGGGAGGAGAGGCAGGCACACUUGGUGUAACUCUUACUGAAAAAAAUCACAUCCAUUUAUAAGUGGACCCAGGCAGUUACAAACCUGCAUUGAUCAAGGGUCAACUAUGUAUUGGGAACUUGUUAAAACUGCAGCUGCUUGGCUCCCAUGCAUGAUUCCAUGAAGUUGGCAUGGGUCCUGGGCAUCUAUACUUUUUUCUCCCUCAGAUUUUCUUACGCUUACCAAUGAUCACAGUUUUUCACCUGUUUGUUAAUCAUGUGUUUUUUAUAGUUUAUAUUUAAAGCCAUUCAGGUGUUUUAGUUUAAACCUCAAAUAUACUAUAAACUCCAUGAGGGCACAAAAUUAAACUUAGUUUAGAGGUUGAUAAGCAAUGCCCCCACCUUUUUUAUCUGCCUAUGUUUGGAUUCAGUUAAAUCAGAUAGAUGAAGAUUGAAAUGUAAGUUUACUGAAAAAAGUUGUUUGGAAAAGGUAGCUGAGAUUUGCAGCAACAACGAGCUCCAAAGAACUAGGCAGAUUUAAAAUUAAGAGUUUUUCUAUCAGCAAGAAUAGAGCUUGUCCCACUGCAUCUACUGUGUAACAGCAGGCCAAAACAAAUGACCCUCUUCAGUCAGCCAAAUCCCAAGUGGAAAGGAGAGAGAAAGUUGGCCGAGCCUCCGAAUUUUUUCUCCGAAACCUGCUGUCAGAUCAUUUAGCCCCUCCUAUCCUAGAAAGAAGUUAAGAGUAGAGGUCAGCCAUGAAUAUUACAGUAAGGAAGUUUUAUGUGGAGUAUGAAAGAGCUUUCCUCAUGCCUUCAACAAUACUCAAUAGGUAUUAAUGGAUUUUUUUUAAUACUUUGCAUUGGGUUGCUAUGAUUUUUAGUACCUAAAUAAGUUAUGAAGUUACAACUUCAGUUAGAUCAGUAUAUAUUAUUGUAUUAGUUAUACUUUGGUAUGUAACAAAUUAUUUCCCAAACAGCUUAAAACAACAUUUGUCAUUUCAUACAUGGUGCAUGAAAUGAUACGUGGUCAGGAAUCUGGGAGUGGUUUAGCUGAGUGGCUCCAGUUCAGAGCCUCUUAUGUGGUUGCAGUCAUCUAAAGGCUGCUUGAGUGUCUUCACAACAUGGCACCAGAGCACGUGAUCUGAGAGAGAGGCAGAAACCACAGUGUCUUUUACAACCUAACUUUAGAAGUGACCUACUGUCACUGUGUUGUAUUCUGUGGGUUACACAGACCUACCUACACAAGAGUAUGAAUACCAAGAGGUGUAGGAUUCAUUGGAGGCCAUCUUGAGGGCCGACUACCACACUUUUAUGACAUGUUAGUUUCACUUUAUAUCUCACAGAACGAGUAAUUCAGUAAUGUCUAAUAUCCCAAUAAAAUUGUUUCAUGGUAA